rnacentral:rRNA from 1 species
CCCCUAGAUGUUCUGGGCCGCACGCGCGCUACACUGAACAGUUCAACAAGUCUUAACCUUGGCCGAUAGGUCUGGGUAAUCUUUGAACGCUGUUCGUGAUUGGGAUAGACCUUUGCAAUUAUGGGUCUUCAACGAGGAAUUCCUAGUAAACGCAAGUCAUCAGUUUGCAUUGAUUACGUCCCUGCCCUUUGUACACACCGCCCGUCGCACCUACCGAUUGAAUGGUCCGGUGAAAUCUCGGGACGGCGGCUUGGUCGCUUGCGUCCGACUGCUGAAACUUGAUUAAACCAUAUCAUUUAGAGGAAGGUGAANUCGUAACA